GCUGUAGUGGUCUAUCGGGAAGAAUGUGGGAUUUAGUUCCGUAGGUCGCAGGUUCGAUUCCUGCGUCGGCC